AGCAGCCGCGGUAAUUCCAGCUCCAAUAGCGUAUAUUAAAGUUGUUGCAGUUAAAAGCUCGUAGUUGAAUUUCGGGAUCAAAUUGUCGGUCGUGCCUCGGUACGUACUGGCGUUAUUGGUUCCUCCCUUCUGAAGAACCGCGAUGUCAUUAAUUUGGUGUCGCGGGGAAUCAGGACUGUUACUUUGAAAAAAUUAGAGUGUUUAAAGCAGGCUCGCGCUUGAAUACAUUAGCAUGGAAUAAUGAAAUAGGACGUUUGAUUCUAUUUUGUUGGUUUCUAGGAUCGACGUAAUGAUUAAUAGGGAUAGUUGGGGGCAUUAGUAUUCAAUUGUCAGAGGUGAAAUUCUUGGAUUUAUUGAAGACUAACUACUGCGAAAGCAUUUGCCAAGGAUGUUUUCAUUAAUCAAGAACGAAAGUUAGGGGAUCGAAGACGAUCAGAUACCGUCGUAGUCUUAACCAUAAACUAUGCCGACUAGGGAUCGGAUGAUGUUAAUUUUUUAAUGACUCAUUCGGCGCCUUACG
rnacentral:rRNA from 1 species